GACGAACGCUGGCGGCGUGCUUAACACAUGCAAGUCGAACGGAAAGGCCCUGCUUUUGUGGGGUGCUCGAGUGGCGAACGGGUGAGUAACACGUGAGUAACCUGCCCUUGACUUUGGGAUAACUUCAGGAAACUGGGGCUAAUACCGGAUAGGAGCUCCUGCUGCAUGGUGGGGGUUGGAAAGUUUCGGCGGUUGGGGAUGGACUCGCGGCUUAUCAGCUUGUUGGUGGGGUAGUGGCUUACCAAGACUUUGGCGGGUAGCCGGCCUGAGAGGGUGACCGGCCACAUUGGGACUGAAAUACGGCCCAGACUCCUACGGGAGGCAGCAGUGGGGAAUAUUGCACAAUGGGCGGAAGCCUGAUGCAGCAACGCCGCGUGCGGGAUGACGGCCUUCGGGUUGUAAACCGCUUUCGCCUGUGACGAAGCGUGAGUGACGGUAAUGGGUAAAGAAGCACCGGCUAACUACGUG
rnacentral:rRNA from 1 species